AGCAUAUCAAUAAGCGGAGGAAAAGAAACCAACAGGGAUUGCCUUAGUAACGGCGAGUGAAGCGGCAACAGCCCAGAUUUGAAAUCUGACUUUCGGGUCCGAGUUGUAAUCUGCAGAUGAGUCUUUUGGCGGAGCGCCGUCCAAGUUCCCUGGAAUGGGACGCCACAGAGGGUGAGAGCCCCGUACCGACAAGCGCCGAGUCGUUGUAAAGCUCAUUCUACGAGUCGAGUAGUUUGGAAAUGCUGCUCUAAUUGUGGGGUAAAUCUCCCAUNNNNNNAAAUNCCGGCCAGAGACCGAUAGCGCACAAGUAGCGUGAGCGAAAGAUGAGAAGAGCCUUGAAUAAGGGCGUCAAAAAGCAUGUGAAAUUGUUAUGGGGGAAGCGCUUGAGACCAGACUCGAGGGCGGUUAAUUACCCGGCGUUCUCGCCGGCGCACUUUGCCGUCUUUGGGCCAGCAUCAGUUUGGAUCGGGGCCAAUACCGGUAGGAACGUGGCUCUUCGGAGUGUUAUAGCCCGCCGGGGACGUCCCGCACCAGACUGAGGAACCUGCGCACUGCUAGGAUGCNGGCGUAAUGGUCUUCAGCGACCCGU
rnacentral:rRNA from 1 species